rnacentral:rRNA from 1 species
AUUGAACGCUGGCGGCAUGCCUUACACAUGCAAGUCGAACGGUAACAGGUCUUCGGAUGCUGACGAGUGGCGAACGGGUGAGUAAUACAUCGGAACGUGCCCGAGAGUGGGGGAUAACGAGGCGAAAGCUUUGCUAAUACCGCAUACGAUCUCAGGAUGAAAGCAGGGGACCGCAAGGCCUUGCGCUCACGGAGCGGCCGAUGGCAGAUUAGGUAGUUGGUGGGAUAAAAGCUUACCAAGCCGACGAUCUGUAGCUGGUCUGAGAGGACGACCAGCCACACUGGGACUGAGACUCGGCCCAGACUCCGACGGGAGGCAGCGGUGGGGAAUUUUGGACAAUGGGCGCAAGCCUGAUCCAGCCAUGCCGCGUGCAGGAUGAAGGCCUUCGGGUUGUAAACUGCUUUUGUACGGAACGAAAAGACUCUGGUUAAUACCUGGGGUCCAUGACGGUACCGUAAGAAUAAGCACCGGCUAACUACGUGCCAGCCGCCGCCGUAACAC